rnacentral:rRNA from 1 species
GUGAGGAAUUUUCCGCAAUGGGCGAAAGCCUGACGGAGCAAUGCCGCGUGAAGGAUGAAGGCCUAUGGGUUGUAAACUUCUUUUCUCAGAAAAGAAUUAUGACGGUAUCUGAGGAAUAAGCAUCGGCUAACUCUGUGCCAGCAGCCGCGGUAAGACAGAGGAUGCAAGCGUUAUCCGGAAUGAUUGGGCGUAAAGCGUCUGUAGGUUGUUUAAAAAGUAUUCUGUCAAAGAUUAGGGCUUAACCCUAGAUAGGCAGAAUAAACUUUUAAGCUAGAGUUUGGUAGAGGCAGAGGGAAUUCCCUGUGGAGCGGUAAAAUGCGUAGAUAUCGGGAUGAACACCAAAGGCGAAGGCACUCUGCUGGGCCAAUACUAACACUGAGAGACGAAAGCGAGGGGAGCAAAUGAGAUUAGAUACCCGAGUAGUCC